rnacentral:rRNA from 1 species
AUUGAACGCUGGCGGCAGGCCUAACACAUGCAAGUCGAACGAGUGGCGGACGGGUGAGUAAUGUCUGGGAAACUGCCCGAUGGAGGGGGAUAACUACUGGAAACGGUAGCUAAUACCGCAUACCAUCGGAUGUGCCCAGAUGGGAUUAGUUAGGGGGUGGGGUAACGGCUCACCAAGGCGACGAUCCCUAGCUGGUCUGAGAGGAUGACCAGCCACACUGGAACGUAGACACGGUCCAGACUCCUAGGGGAGGCAGCAGUGGGGAAUAUUGCACAAUGGGCGCAAGCCUGAUGCAGCCAUGCCGCGUGGUUGAAGAAGGCCUUCGGGUUGUAAAGUACUUUCAGCGAGGAGGCGUUACUCGCAGAAGAAGCACCGGCUAACUCCGUGCCAGCAGCCGCGGUAAUUC